UUCCCCAACAAGCAUACCUUCCUAUCCUUCACAGCACAACUCAUGUAACCGUUCGGAGUAUUCCCAACUCUCAGACUGUAAAAUCACGAACGCGUAUAAAGGCUCAAACGCAUCCCACCACCUUCCAUCGUUAAGAAAGAAAAAGAAGAAAAAGGAAUGGAACCUCCUUCUCUACAACAACAUCAGUUAGCCAUGAUUUUCUUCCUGUUCUUUCUUCCAUUUCUCUACUUCUUCUACCAGCUGCUGAAACAGUACAAGAAGCGCCCAUUCCCGCCGGGCCCACGUCCUCUGCCGAUCAUUGGCAACAUGCUAAUUUUGGACCAGCUGACCCACCGAGGCCUCGCCAAACUCUCCGAUCGCUAUGGUGGCCUUCUCUACCUCCGCCUCGGCUUCCUCCACACAGUCACCAUCUCCACCCCCGAGAUGGCCCGUCAGGUCUUGCAAGUGCAGGACAACCUCUUCUCCAACCGCCCUGCCACCAUCGCUGUCCGCUACCUUACCUACGACCGUGCCGACAUGGCCUUCGCCCACUACGGGCCCUUCUGGCGCCAGAUGCGCAAGCUCUGCGUUAUGAAGCUCUUCAGCCGCAAGCGCGCCGAGUCGUGGGCGUCUGUCCGGGACGAGGUUGAAUCAAUCGUCCGAGCUGUUGCCAUGAGGCCAGGUUCUUGUGUCAACCUCGGUGAGAAUGUCUUCAGCCUCACCCGGAACAUCAUAUACCGAGCGGCUUUUGGAUCUUAUUCACAUGAGGGCCAAGACGAGCUUUUGUCUAUCUUGCAGGAGUUCUCUAAACUCAUGGGUGCCUUCAAUAUUGCGGAUUUCAUUCGUUGCUUUGGUUGGUUCGACCCACAGGGAUUUAACAAGAGACUCGCCAGGGCUCGGGGGUCGCUGGACAGGUUCAUAGACAAUAUCAUCGAUGAACACAUGGAGAAGAAGAAAAAGAAGACGGCCAUGGCGAAUAUAGAAGAAGAAGAUACUGACAUGGUAGACGAUCUACUCGCAUUCUUUGGCAAUGAUCAAGGAAGCCGCACUGGCGAGGCUGACGAUCUUCAAGGUUCCUUAAGACUCACAAGAGAUAACAUCAAGGCUAUUAUAAUGGACGUGAUAUUUGGCGGCACCGAAACGGUGGCAUCGGCCAUCGAGUGGGCCAUGGCAGAGCUGAUGAAGCAUCCAGAAGAGAUGAAGAAGCUGCAGGAUGAGCUUGCCGAUGUAGUGGGAUUGGAUCGCAAGGUGCAUGAGAGCGACCUCGAUAAGCUGACAUACCUAAAAUGCACGGUGAAGGAGACACUCCGCCUCCACCCUCCUAUCCCUCUCCUCCUCCAUGAGACGGCAGAGGAUGCGAAGAUUGCUGGCUACUCGAUCCCUGCCGGCACCCGUGUCACGAUCAACGUGUGGGCCAUAGGGAGGAAUAGGACGGCCUGGGAGGAUCCGGAGGCGUUCAAACCGUACAGGUUCGCCGGAGAAGGUGACGUCGAUUUCAAAGGGAAUUACUUUGAGCUCAUACCCUUCGGCUCGGGCCGGCGUUCUUGCCCCGGCAUGCAGUUGGGCCUCUACGCCUUGGAGCUGGCGGUGGCCCAGCUUGUCCACUGCUUUACGUGGAGCCUACCGGAUGGGGUGAAGCCAUCUGAGCUUGACAUGAGCGACGUGUUUGGCCUGACGGCACCAAGAGCCGUCCGCCUCGUUGCUGUCCCAUCUCUCCGGCUCAGAUGCUCUCUUUUCUGAUGAUUCAUGUAUAUACUUGGAUGUUGGUUUGCUAGCAAGGCUCUCUACAUGCAUGCACUCUCGUCUAAUCUGCUCACUCCUCCUGCCCACCAUAUCAUAUACAAGCCGUUCAUCACCAAUAUGGUCAACAGGGAAGAAAGAUCACCACCGUCCAUACUAGUGGGAGAAUCUAGAUGAACGGUCGGGAUCAUUGCAUUUUGGGCAUACGGACGAGUAGAUUGGGCGAGCCUGUCGACGAGACCUUAUGUGAUAUAUGUAUAUACCUACGUAUAUAGUUUUUAUUUAAUCCAAUUAGUCCGUCUUUCGUUUUCCUUAUUUUGUAAGGAAACUCCGAUGAUGCACCGAAUCAUUGAUGCUCUGACAGUGCGUGAUGGUUGAUACGCGGACUUGGAAAGUUGUAUUGGUGGGCACAUAAGUUAAUCACGACCGUCCAAAUCGUCAACCUACUACAGAUUUGGUUUUCUGAAUGGAUGAUUGGUUGAGAU